AUUGUCUGCCCCGCCUUGAUUGUUUUCACCUGUCCCUCGUUAUCUGUUUUGUAUAUAGUCCAUGUAUUCUUGUUUCUCCUUUCGUUCUCGUCAUUGUAUGUUACAUGGUAUGUUCUGUGUAUUGCUACUGUGCCCAUAACAUUAGAUGGAUCCCAAUGUGUUUGUUUCUGAGCACAACACAUCAUAUGACCCUUUGAAGGAGUUAUCACUGUUGUUGAUGAACUGCACAGGGACGCCACAACUCAAUGAAGGUGGUCUGCAAAGAAAAACUAAAAAAGACAAGCGAAGUGACAGAGAAAAAUGUUGGCGUGACCCAAGUUACAACAAAGACCCUUGAUAAGUCCAAACCAACAUGCCUUGGAAAGAAACCUGAUCCAUGUGGAAGUGUCUCCACUGAUUUGGUGCAGCAGCAGACAAAAGAGUUCUUUUAUCGUUGUCCAAAAUGUGGGAAGGGUUACAAUGAGAAGGAAGAAUAUAAAGAACACAUGAAUGAAAUGCAUCCUGAAGAGAAGAGGCAUCACUCCACAGAGUGUGGCAAAAGCUUCACUGUUGCCUGUCUACUUCUCGAGCACCAAAGAAUCCACACCGGUGAGAGGCCAUAUGAUUGCAAAGAGUGUGGAAAGUCAUUUUCUUCAAAAGAGAGCAUCAGGAUUCAUCAAAGAAUUCAUACUGGAGAGAAGCCAUACCACUGCAUAGAGUGUGGGAAGAGCUUCAGAGAGCAUAAAUAUUUGACAAUACACAAACGAAUACACAGUGGAGAGAAGCCAUACAAAUGUUCCUGCUGUGUGAAAAGUUUUGCUGCACAGUGUGCUCUUAAAGUGCAUGUGAGGCAGCAUACUGGAGAGAAGCCAUAUAGUUGCAAGGUGUUUUGUUUCAUUUUCCAACUGUCAAAAACAUGAAAGGAUUCAUAUUGGACACAAACCCCAUUUAUGCAGAGAGUGUGGAAAUUAUUUUUCUUCAGGCUGGAAUUUGCGGGCGCACAUGAGGGUUCACACUGGCGAGAAGCCGUACAUUUGCAAAGUAUGUGGAAAGUGUUUUGCUUCAAUUUCAAAUUGUCAAACACAUCAGAAGACACACACUUCACAGGAGUCAUGACAUUUUUCUUCCCGUCGACGUCAUCGCCUUGUUUCCAGUUGGAUAUAAUUGUGAUGAAAUUUGUUUUGUGGAGAUACUCUUUCCCGAAAGGGAAACCAGAUCUACCUGUGUCAACCUUUCUCUACUGCUAUUGAUUUUACUUCAUGUCUUUAACUAUUGUCUUAUAUUUUGCUAUUGUGUAUUCUGUUUCGCCAUUGCUAUUCUUUAGCCAGAAAGCAUUUUCUUUUUUGUUCUCUCUGAUGGUCCAAAUUUUCUUGAAUAUUGGUGUGUAUUUUAAUAAAGUUACGUCUCCAUCUAUUUUA